rnacentral:tRNA from 1 species
GGGUUCGUGGUCUAGGUCGGUUAUGACACCUCCUUGACAUGGAGGAGGUCGGCGGUUCGAAUCCGCCCGAACCCA